GAUAGGUUUGGAUGUGGUGGGAUAAGACAGGGCUAGGUUUAGAUAUGGUGGGAUAAGACAGGGCUAGGUUUAGAUAUGGUGGGAUAAGACUGUGUUAAUGCAGACAGGGCUAGGUUUAGAUAUGGUGGGAUAAGACAGAGCUAGAUUUAGAUAUGGUGGGAUAAGACCGGGCUAGGUUUAGAUAUGGUGGGAUAAGACUGUGUUAAUGCAGACAGGGCUAGGUUUAGAUAUGGUGGGAUAAGACUGUGUUAAUGCAGACAGGGAUAGGUUUAGAUAUGGUGGGAUAAGACUGUUAAUGCAGACAGGGCUAGGUUUAGAUAUGGUGGGAUAAGACAGGGCUAGGUUUAGAUAUGGUGGGAUAAGACUGUGUUAAUGCAGACAGGGCUAGGUUUAGAUAUGGUGGGAUAAGACUGUGUUAAUGCAGACAGGGCUAGGUUUAGAUAUGGUGGGAUAAGACAGGGCUAGGUUUAGAUAUGGUGGGAUAAGACUGUGUUAAUGCAGACAGGGAUAGGUUUAGAUAUGGUGGGAUAAGACUGUUAAUGCAGACAGGGCUAGGUUUAGAUGUGGUGGGAUAAGACUGUGUUAAUGCAGACAGGGCUAGGUUUAGAUAUGGAGGGAUAAGACUGUUAAUGCAGACAGGGCUAGGUUUAGAUAUGGUGGGAUAAGACAGGGCUAGGUUUAGAUAUGGUGGGAUAAGACUGUGUUAAUGCAGACAGGGAUAGGUUUAGAUAUGGUGCGAUAAGACUGUUAAUGCAGACAGGGCUAGGUUUAGAUGUGGUGGGAUAAGACUGUGUUAAUGCAGACAGGGCUAGGUUUAGAUAUGGUGGGAUAAGACUGUGUUAAUGCAGACAGGGAUAGGUUUAGAUAUGGAGGGAUAAGACUGUGUUAAUGCAGACAGGGAUAGGUUUGGAGGGAUAAGACUGUGUUAAUGCAGACAUGUAGAAAGGUGUUUGCUUGUGCCGUCACAUGAUUUUACAGGAACGCGUUGAGCCGGUCUUUGAUUUAUAACAAACAUUGUAACGAUGUAGUGAAAUAAUCCAUGCUAAAUCACUGUUGUUGGUGAUUUACAUUUACUAAUUUAAUACCGAAAUAUCUGUUUUAAGUUUAUGAUAUUUGAGUACUAAAAAAUGUAAAUUUACCACAGUAUUAGGCUAUGCCAAGUAGUGAAGAUAAUGCAACAACAAUGUGUUAUUAUUGUCAGUCAGUGUGUCCAAUCUAACUGCACUGUGAUGCUGCCUGGCCGUGGCCUGCUGUCUGAAGUGACCUGCUGCCUGGCCGUGGCCUGCUGUCUGAAGUGACCUGCUGCCUGGCCUGCUGUCUGUUGAAGUGACCUGCUACCUGGCCGCGGCCUGCUGUCUGAAGUGACCUGCUGUCUGAAGUGACCUGCUGCCUGGCCGUGGCCUGCUGUCUGAAGUGACCUGCUGCCUGGCCUGCUGUCUGAAGUGACCUGCUGCCUGGCCGUGGCCUGCUGUCUGAAGUGACCUGCUACCUGGCCGUGGCCUGCUGUCUGAAGUGACCUGCUACCUGGCCGUGGCCUGCUGUCUGAAGUGACCUGCUACCUGGCCGUGGCCCGCUGUCUGUUGAAGUGACCUGCUACCUGGCCGUGGCCCGCUGUCUGUUGAAGUGACCUGCUACCUGGCCGUGGCCUGCUGUCUGUUGAAGUUACCUGUUUGUUGCUACUCAAGUGGCUUUGGCUGCUGUCUGGAUUCUUAAAAAGCGUCAGGU